CCUACGGGUGGCAGCAGUGAGGAAUAUUGGUCAAUGGACGCAAGUCUGAUCCAGCCAUGCCGCGUGCAGGAAGACGGCUCUAUGAGUUGUAAACUGCUUUUGUACGAGGGUAAACGCACAUACGCGUAUCUGUCUGUACGUAUCGUACGAAUAAGGAUCGGCUAACUCCGUGCCAGCAGCCGCGGUAAUACGGAGGAUUCAAGCGUGAUCCGGAUUUAUUGGGUUUAAAGGUUGGGUAGGCGGUCGGAUAAGAUAGAGGUGAAAUCCCGAGGCUCAACUUCGGAAUUGCCUCUGAUACUGUUCGGCUAGAGAGUAGUUGCGGGAGGCGGAAUGUAUGGUGUAGCAGUGAAAUGCUUAGAGAU
rnacentral:rRNA from 1 species